GCCGGGCAUGAUGGUGCAUGUCUGUAAUCCCAGCUACUCAGGAGGCUGAGACAGGAGAAUCACUUGAACCCAGGAGGCAGAGGUUGCAGUGAGACAAGAUUGUACCACUGCACUAUAGCCUGGGUGACAGAGUGAGACUCUGUCUCAA
rnacentral:sRNA from 1 species